rnacentral:misc_RNA from 1 species
AAGUCGUAACAAGGUUUCCGUAGGUGAACCUGCGGAAGGAUCAUUAACGUGGCGGAAAGUUUUUUUGAUUCGGGACCUCUAUCCGAGUGGUAUCAAGUUAGAAUCCGAACUUGAGCAGUGGCAUGGUUUCCCUACGCAGUGCAGAAGGAUCCACUGAUAAGGAUGACGCCUCACGGUUGCUAGCGGUCGAUCACCGAUCAGCAGACAUGUCACAGGGCUUUACGCCCCUUCGUUCACACCUUGCCUAUUUAAGCCCCGCGGAAACGCCUGGGCUAAAAACCGAACAACUGUUAACAAUGGAUAUCUUGGUUCUC